GGGCUGGGCUGGGCCGGCCCGCUCCGGCGCCGGGGACCACGCGCGACUGGUUAGAUCUUGUCGUGAUCUCUGGAAAACUGUGACUAUCUCACAUGCCCUGCCCUGCUCGGAUCCCCUGCGCUAACGAGCCAGGCCCCCCUUGAUUGCUGAUUUUACGCUUUUUGGACCAAUUGUGGGUCUCCGGGGGCGGGGUUUUGACAGCUCAGGCCAAGCUCCGGCCGGGAGGGGGGGCCGGGGAGAAGGUGUCGGAAGCCUCAGCAGUAAGAAAACAUGUCAACGGAAUAAAAUAUUAACCAAUGACGGCCCGGCGGGCCCGAGACCCCUCCCCCUGGCCGGGCCCCCACCCCGCCGCCCGCGCCCGCGGCUCCCGAGCGCGGACUGGGAAGCGUGGAGGGCCGACCUGACCCGCCGAAAGGGCCGAGGCGGGGGGCGCCGGGGCCGAGGGCCUCAGGGAAGGACCCCUAGCCGCGUGCCGGCCCCAAGUGCAAAGCAUUGACACGUCCCCGAGAGGAGAGGGGGCGCCCUCCUUCUCCCGCGCCCGGAAGCCCGGCCGCUCGGGCCGGCGCCCCAGCCUGGCCUCCGACUUGGCUCCCGGUCGCCGCCCGGGUCCCCGCGCUCCACAGGGAGGCUGCGGGCGCUGGAAAGCGAGGCCGGUGGGCGGGCGAGUCGGGAGGCUCGGGCGGCUGAGGUCCCGGAGCGGAACCCAGGUGGCGGGAGCUGCCUGUCAACGACUCCGACUCCACAGGCCUGCAGACAAGGUCUAACAACCCAGCGCUGCCAUUGGCCAUCCACAGCCUGCCGCCCAGGCCCCGCUCAGCGCUCCCCACUGUUCUGUCCGAGGAACCUGUGCAGAUGGCUUCAGGUUCUCUGGGCCCCAGCGGGCCUGCUCCUCAUGCACAGGUGUCCACGCCUCCGCAGGCUCAUCCUCUUCCCUUGCAGAGCAUGCCUGGCCCCACCAAGCUCCACGCUGACUCCUAGCCAGGCCCUCAAAACUCCCAGGUGUCCGUCCUCCUCCACACCUGGAGAGGCCCUUUGGUGGGGGAC
rnacentral:lncRNA from 1 species